rnacentral:rRNA from 1 species
UACAGAGGGGGCAAGCGUUGUUCGGAAUUACUGGGCGUAAAGGGCGCGUAGGCGGCCUUCUAAGUCGAACGUGAAAUCCCCGGGCUCAACCCGGGAACUGCGUCCGAUACUGGAAGGCUUGAAUCCGGGAGAGGGAUGCGGAAUUCCAGGUGUAGCGGUGAAAUGCGUAGAUAUCGGGAGGAACACCAGUGGCGAAGGCGACUACCUGGCCUGUUUCUUGACGCUGAGGCGCGAAAGCUAGGGGAGCGAACAGG